rnacentral:rRNA from 1 species
GCUAAGAAUAUUCCGCAAUGGACGAAAGUCUGACGGAGCGACGCCGCGUGGAUGACGAAGGCCGAAAGGUUGUAAAGUCCUUUUGUCGAUGAAGAAUAAGGGUAGGAGGGAAUGCCUGCCUGAUGACGUUAGUCGGCGAAUAAGCCCCGGCUAAUUACGUGCCAGCAGCCGCGGUAACACGUAAGGGGCAAGCGUUGUUCGGAAUUAUUGGGCGUAAAGGGUACGUAGGCGGUUUGGUAAGCCCGGCGUGAAAUCCUGCAGCUUAACUGUAGAGCUGCGCUGGGAACUGCGAAACUUGAGUCAUGGAAGGGGAGUUAGAAUUCCAGGUGUAGGGGUGAAAUCUGUAGAUAUCUGGAAGAAUACCGGUGGCGAAGGCGAACUCCUGGCCAAUGACUGACGCUGAGGUACGAAAGUGCGGGGAGCAAACAGGAUUAGAAACCCGUGUAGUCC